rnacentral:rRNA from 1 species
AAUAACCUACGGGGCGCAGCAGUGGGGAAUAUUGCACAAUGGGGGAAACCCUGAUGCAGCGACGCCACGUGAAGGACGAAGUAUUUCGGUACGUGAAGCUCUAUCAGCAGGGAAGAAUAAUGACGGUACCUGACUAAGAAGCCCCGGCUAACUACGUGCCAGCAGCCGCGGUAAUACGUAGGGGGCAAGCGUUAUCCGGAUUUACUGGGUGUAAAGGGAGCGUAGACGGCUGUGCAAGUCUGAAGUGAAAUGCCGGGGCUCAACCCCGGAACUGCUUUGGAAACUGUACAGCUAGAGUGCAGGAG